GCCAUAAUGAGACCUUGGGGAAAUUACUUAACUUCUUUGUGCCUCAGUUUCCUUAUUUAUAAAGUGGGGGUAAUAAUACCUACCUCAUAGGGUAGUUGUGAGGACCAAAU
rnacentral:snoRNA from 1 species